UACGUAGGUGGCAAGCGUUGUCCGGAAUUAUUGGGCGUAAAGCGCGCGCAGGCGGUCCUUUAAGUCUGAUGUGAAAGCCCACGGCUCAACCGUGGAGGGUCAUUGGAAACUGGUGGACUUGAGUGCAGGAGAGAAGAGUGGAAUUCCACGUGUAGCGGUGAAAUGCGCAGAUACCAGGAAGAACACCCGUGGCGAAGGCGGCUCUCUGGGACGGUACUGACGCUGAGACGCGAAAGCGUGGGGAGCGAACAGG
rnacentral:rRNA from 1 species